rnacentral:rRNA from 1 species
UGGGGGAUAUUGCACAAUGGGCGAAAGCCUGAUGCAGCGACGCCGCGUGGGGGAUGAAGGCCUUCGGGUUGUAAACUUCUUUUGCUCUGAACAAGGCGCACCUUGGGGUGUGUUGAGUGUAGGGGUUGAUUAGCGCCGGCUAACUACGUGCCAGCAGCCGCGUUAAUACGUAGGGCGCGAGCGUUGUCCGGAAUUAUUGGGCGUAAAGGGCUUGUAGGUGGCUGGUUGCGUCUGUCGUGAAAGCUCAUGGCUUAACUGUGGGUUUGCGGUGGGUACGGGCUGGCUUGAGUGCAGUAGGGGAGGCUGGAAUUCCUGGUGUAGCGGUGGAAUGCGCAGAUAUCAGGAGGAAUACCGGUGGCGAAGGCGGGUCUCUGGGCUGUUACUGACACUGAGGAGCGAAAGCAUGGGGAGCGAACAGG